GGCAUGGUAGUAGACGUUGUUUAACAGAUUCAGAUUGUAAUAAAAAUAAGUGUAGAAAACCUACUAUAAUUAAAUGUGUCGAUCGUCUUUGUACAUGUAUUGCGGUAUUUCAACCCCAAUCCUAGAGUACCCAAUUUCACUAAAACAAUUUUUCUAUCACUUAAUUAUUAUGUUUGUAUUAGCACCCUAUAAUUUUAUUUUUCCUUCUAUAUCUAAUAUCAAGACUAGUAUUUUUAUCACUGUAAUAUAACACGAUGGAUAUGAAAUAAAAUAAGGCGUCCUUUAAUAUUAGUUAGUUCAUUUUCUUCUAUUUAAUUUUAGAUAUAUUGCAAUAACCUUCGAUUAAGGCAUUUUAAUUUUUCAUACACUUAUAAAGUUGAAUAUAAAUUUGUUAAGGUUGCUUCUGAGCCUACAUUGUUAUAUAUAUAUAUAUUUAUAAUACUAUAUAAUAUAUAUAUAUAUUAUAUAUGUAUUUAUUCUAUUUCUUAUUAUAUUAUAUAUAUAUAUAUAUAUAUUGGAGUUAGUAUGGUUCAAACUAAUCCUUAUCUAAAAAAUAUUGUAGUUAAUAACAAUAAUAAUUAUCGCAGGUGUGUUCCAAAAGAACAAGAAAAUGUACAAGCAAGGAAAUGAGUAAUCAAUACAUGGAAAAUAGUUCCACCUAAAAAAAGUAUCACUUACUUUAAAAGCCCUUAUAAAGAGUUACAUUAAUUAAUUCAACAAAACAGUUAAAUAGAAUAAAGUGUCACAUGCAAAAAUGGCUCUAGGCCUGGGGAGGAAUAGGAAGAUAUAGAGAAAUCCAAGCCUGCAAGAAGAAAAAUGACGAUAUGAAGAACUAUUUUGGACCUAAUCGGGAAUAUUAAUCUUUAGAAAUACACAGGUCCAGGUCUGAGGGUCUGGGCAUAGAGACGCUAGUUGCGACUCGUAGGGAGUAGGCAACUAGGCAAUGUUUGUGAAGUAUUGGAGUAGGCGAAAAGCUGUAACAUUUAAUAAAAAGUAUUGUUGAAAGGAUGUGUUUCAUCAAGGGUCGCAACCUUGUGAAACAACACUACAUGGCAUAAAAUUGAUCAUUCUAGAUUAAAAAAAACAUUACAAAAGUACACCCUAUUCAAUAAAAAUUCCAGAUUUCACUUUCUCUAAAUUUGAGUUUUCAUCAGUCUUGUGCAAAUUUGAAGUAGGUUGAAUUAUCUUGAGUAUUCAUGCGUCUUGACUCUAAUACAUUUGACUUAGAAGCAUUAUCUAAUAGUCUAAUAGUAACUCAAAUAAUGGCUAUACCGAGACUUCAGAUUCAAGAAUCAAAGUGAUGAAUCAAAACCUUGUCAAGUUAGAUCGUUUCAAUGAAACAAACUUCACUCGUUGGCAAGACAAAAUGAUAUUUACCCUGAUUGCAGUGAAGAUUCACUAUGUCUUAGGUUUUGAUUUGACACCAAUUCCAAACCAAUAUAAAAUUACUUUGAUGAAAUCAAGAAAGAACGCAAGAAAUGAAAGGAGGAUGAAUUGUUAUGUUAUGGACAUGUUUUUCGAUCAUCUUGAUGACCUCUACACAUACACCUAAUCUGCAAUACAAAAUAUGAAAAAUACUCAAGUUCAAAUUUAAAGCUGAAGAGGAAUGUACUAAAAAGUUUUUCAUUUCUAAAUAUUUAAAUUUUAAAAUGUUGGAUUCAAAGCCCAUUCUUGCACAACUACACGAGUUACAAGUUAUUGUAAACAAACUAAAAGUUGUAGAGAUAGACAUCCCGAAGCUUUCCAAGUUGGUGCAAUAAUUGGAAAAUUUUCAUCUUCAUGGAAAAGCUACAGGAAGAAAUUGUUGCAUAGUUAUGAGGGCAUCUCACUAGAGAAAAUAUAGAAAUAUCUUCUAAUCGAGGAGGAAUGGAAAGAUAUAGAGAAAUCCAAGCCUGCUAGAUAUUCUAAAGCCAAUUGUGUGAGUGCAAAAGGAAAGAAGAAAAAUGACGACAUGAAGAACCAUCUUUGACCUAAUCGGGAAUAUUAAUCUUGACUCAUAAUAGUGUAUUUGUAUAGAAAUUUUAUUCCGUUAAGGGAAUGAUAAAACUUUGUAUUACCGACAAUAUUAUAAAUAAAAUUUCUAUUUCUGCUUAAAUGCUUGAAUUUGUUUCUUUAUGGCAUACUAGAUUAGCAAAUAUUGUUAUUAGUACUAUUAAGAGACUAAUUAAAUUUGGUUUGAUCUCAUGCGAUGUUGAUGAUUUCAAAAAAUCUGAAAUAUGUAUUAAAUAAAAGAUGAUUAAGAAGUCUUUCAAAAGUGUAGAAAGAAAGACCAACUUGCUUGAUCCUGUGCAUUCAAAUUUGUGUGAAUUUAAUGACAUGUUAAUCUGUUAGAGAAAUAGAUAUUUCAUUAUCUUUAUCAAUGAUUUCUCUAGAUUCACACAUGUAUAUCUUUUAAAGCAUAAAUAUGAUGCCUUUAAUGCUUUUAAAAUUUAUAAAGCGGAAGUAGAAAAUCAAUUAAGUAGAUAUAACAAAUUCCUUAGGAGUGAUAGGGGGAAUGAAUAAUUUUCUACCGAAUUUGAUGCGCAUUGUGAAAAAUAUGGAAUAAUACAUGAAUGUUCUACACAUCGUAUACCAUAAAAAAAUAGUCUAGCCCGGAAAAAGAAUAAGACAUAUGAAGAAAUGAUGAAUUCCAUGUUAAUUCAUUCUGAAUUGCUAUGUAAUUUGUGGGGUGAAUCCUUAUUAUCUACUUGUCAUAUAAUGAAUAAAACUCCUUUAAAGAAAAGAGGCAUUUCUUUGUAUGAUGUAUGGAAAGGCAGAGCAUUUGUAAGACCCUAAUUUUGACCAUAAGAUCCCUCAUGGCAUCAUGUUAUUACACAAGUGCAUUGCCUCAAGGAUCAUAGCAUGUUUGGCUCCUUAACCCUAGGGUUGGGACUUGUUUGAGUGAUUUGAGAUCACCAAGCAGGCUUGUAUUGUAUGUUAUUGCUUUUCAUAUUGUAUUACUAACCAAAGCACAAAAAUAUGUCACUAACUCUUUUGUUUUGAAGCUCAAGUUAUCAUAUGCUCCACAAUGCUCCUAGGAAGCUCCUAAGCCCAAUGCAAUGGCUAAAUGAAGAUGAGAAAAAGCAUGACAAUGGUUCACAAAGUUCCUAAUCAUCAUAUAUGUCUCCCAAGUAUCUCAAUUUUCCAAUUUUAUCAAGAUAACCCAAAGGGCUUGAAGAUUGUUUCCCAAGGAACCCUAAUUUCACUAUGCUUUGACUGCGCCUUGCGCUUGAAGCAAUCUCAACCUCUGAUCAAAUUUAAUCAAGGAAAGUUCUUUCAUUUCUCAUUUUAUGCAUAUAUGAGCUUAUUUGAGUCCCCUCAAUCAUUUAUUCAUCAAGAUUGGAAGUUUGACUUUGAAAAGUUGACCAGUCAAGUCAUCUGACUAAGCUGAGGUUCAAUGAGCUAUAAUUUUUGAUGUGUUUGUCAAAUGAAGAUGACCCCAAAAUAAAAAAUGUUCCUAGGAACCAUAUUAACAACUUUAAUGUUAAUCAAAAAUCCAUUUGAAGCUUGGAAGGUCAUAAUUCAUUUCCAAACAUUAUAGGUCAUUUUGGCUGAAACCCUAAUUUUGGGUCAACUUGCCAAGGGCAUAACUUUCUCAAUUUUUAUGAUUUUGAAGUGGGACCAACGGCAUUAGAAAUAUUGAGAUGUGUACUUAAAAUUUUAUGUUGGACAAAAUUUCAUAAUCCUAAAUUAAAUACAUGUGCCCUUGCAAAACAUUAUAGGUCAUCUUUGACCUAAUUCAUUGAAUUUGAAAAAGUAUCCAACUUCAAAUGCCCAUAACUUUAUCAUAGAAAAUCCAAAUGAUGCAAACUUUGAGUCUAAAUUCAUUGUAUUGAAAAGAUACACAACUUUGGUGUUGGAGGUUUUUCAUUUGAAGCUUGUAUCAUGAGGACAAAGGGGUUUGAUCAAGCUUACUUUUGGUUAACUUUUUCAAAGUGACUUGAACAUGUUUUAUACUUGAACUUUCCAAGCCAGUUUUGAUCAAUUUGCACAUGUCAAAUGGUUUUUUUGCCCAACAUGACUUUUAUUCCUUAUUUCAAGAACUUUCCAACCAUUACUCACAAUAGUCAUUUGGAUCUACCAUUUGAGAGAUUCGAAUUUUUCUUCAUUUAUGUGCAUUUUUCAUAUUUUAUGUUAAAACUUGAGAUGAAAGCCUUUUCCAUUCCAUGUGCACGACCACAUGCUUCCCAUAUGAUCUCAGCAAGCUCCUUCAGCCAUUCAUGGGCCUCUCACAUGUCCACAAAGGCCCAUGCAUUCAAAUUUGCAAUUCCCAUGCACGUGAGCAAAGUGUGAUGAUCAGAUGCAUUCACCUAUAAAUAAGGGCUUCCUCUCCUUCAUUUCAUAACCUUUUGGAGAUCCCAUAUGCUGCUGAACUGAAACCACACCCUCACCAAAAGAAUCACUCACCAUUUUUUCAGUAUUUUCGAGCUUGAAAUUCAGCAACAUUAGUUGAGUUUCAAAGCUAGAUUCCUUAGCCAAUCAUCUUCCCCAUAUUCAGAGAUCAAAAAGGAGAAAAAAAGGUUGAAGGAUUCGUGGCCAGAAACUCACCAUUUUGAAGGUAUAAGCUCAAACUGUUUGGAUCUGAAACUCAUAAUUCAAUGUAGUAUUCUUGUGUUUUUAUGGCUCUCUGAAGUCCUCAUACUUGAGGCAAGCUUUUGAUGCAUUCAAUUUUCUAUUUCAAGAUCAAUCUGUGUGGACACCAUGAUUUUCUCCUUAAUCUUUCUCUCAAUAUAGGAAGAAUGAGAGGAAUCUAAUGGUACAGUGAUGAUCUACAUCACAUGAGCUUCAUUUCCAUGCCCUUGUUUUUCAUUUUUGAUAAGAUUUGUUUUUCUGCAAUUCUUGCCGGAUUCUGUUUGGCUGACCGGAGAAGAUGGUGGUUUCCACCACCACCACCACGUGUGUUAACCACAACCAUUGGAUCUCUCCCUCACGAUCUAAUCUCGUGCAUCCAUUCUGAUUACUUCUUUUAAUGCACUGUGUUGCGCUGUUGACUAGAGUGCAUCAAACAUUCCUCAGAUCCAGACCGUGUACCAUUGCCACGUCAAUUAAUGAAAUGGAUCCGGUGGCUCACUUUUUUUUCGCUUAUUUCAUUUUCUUUUUAUUUUCUUUUAAUUCAUUCCAUUUUCAAUAAUUCAUAAAAAAAAUCAUAUGAGGUCAGAAAAAUAUGAGACCAACUCUAAAAAAAUUCUUGAAAAAUCUAGUUUCAUUUUAUGAUUUUUAAUUAUUUUUGUGACCUCAUUUGAUAUUUUUCAUGAAUUAUUUGGUUUUUAAUGAUUUUAAUUCAUUUUAAAAUGCUUUCUAACUUUUAAAAAUACCAAAAAUAUUUUCAUAGCAUCUAUGGAUCAUGAUAAGUCAAUGAAAAAUAGUAUCAACAAUUUCUUGUUUUUUUUGAGAUUAUUUGAGAUUUUAAUUCAUAUUAUGCUAUUUUUGGUUGUUUUUAAUUGAUUUUAAUUGCUUUCUGGCUUUAAAAACUUGUGAGAAAAUUAGUCAAAGUUUGUUUGACUAUGUUGAACCUAUGAAAAUUUAAUUGGACUUAUUGAAGUUGCUUUGAAUUGAAUUUGAGGUUCAACUUUCUUUGUCCUCUAACUACUUUACUCCUCGAUUUCCAACUAAACCGAGAAAAAAGGUAUUUUUGAAAAAUAAAUUAAAAUGUGACGUGUCUAUGGUUUACACCUCGAUUUUUUGUUGGGUGAGAUAAACGUUUCGUCAUAAAAUGUAUUAUUUGGAGUAGUGACAUUUGAAUACAAUUAGGAUACUUGAAUAAAGUAUUAACUUAAGUAAACUAAGGAUACUUAAUUAAAUUUUACAACUUAUUAACGGAUGUAGAUAUCCGCGGGCACGUGUACCACUCAACUUGCAUUCAUAUCUAUUUAAAAAAUAAGUAUUUAAACAUUCAUUCAUUUUAUCCGUAGAUAUAAAUUAAACUACAUUUUUCAUACUCUCCUCCUCCUCUCUCUCUCUCUCUCUCUCGUCUCUCUCUCUCUCUCUCUCUCUCUCUCUCUCUCUCUCUCUCUCUCUCUCUCUCGUCUCUCUCUCUCUCUCUCUCUCUCUCUCUCUCUCUCUCUCUCUCUCUCUCUCUCUCUCUCUCUCUCUCUCUCUCUCUCUCUCUCUCUCUCUCUCUCUCUCUCUCUCUCUCUCUCUCUCUCUCUCUCUUCUCUCUCUCUCUCUCUCCUCUCUCUCUCUCUCUCUCUCUCUCUCUCUCUCUCUCUCUCUCUCUCUCUCUCUCUCUCUCUCAAAAUUAAAAAAUUAAUUUAUUUCCUCAAGUAAUAAGUCUUCAUUGCAUUUUUUUAUUUCCAAAAGGGAACUUAGGAACCUUUCAACUUUGUAUAAUGUUUCUUUCUAAAAAAAAUUCUAUUAUGUUCACAACUAACAAUAGAGGUGACCCGUGUUCAAGUUUGGAAUGGUGGAGAAGUUGAAGAUUUAAAACGAAAAAUCUCUGAUGUUAUUUAGAAGAGAAUAUUUUUUUUAAGUUUAUUGAAUAAUCAAUGUAUCUGUUAUGUAUCAUGAAUCUAAUAUAUUUAUGAUUUAAUAAAUUUAAUAAAAUGUUAUUUAUAAGAAAAAUUUUAUUUUUUAAGUUUAUUGAAUAAUCAAUACAUCUGUAUUAUUUCAUAGACCAAUUUCUCUUAUAAGUAGGACCAAAGAGAAUAUUUAAAAUGUGUUAUGGCUUAAAACUCGGAUUUAUAUUCGAAAGGUGAAUUGUUUCCUCUUCCUCUAAGGUGAACAAGUAAGUGCCUUAGAAGAAUGCGUACAUGCAAGGAUUAUAGGUUUUGUUCAGUGGACACACACUAGAUCUUAUAUAUAGUCAUCCUAAUUAUAAAAUUUAUUCUAACACCUCCAAAAUUUGAUUGGGUACUACUCCCAAUUUUUGUUAAAAUCAAUGUUAACUUUGACAAAAUUUUAACUAAAAUAUUCAAAUGAAAAAUUUAAUAAAAAUCUGAUAUGAAUUGAAAAAUAUAAUAGUGUAUUUAAAAAAAAUUGUAUACACUUUUAUCGAUAUUUUAAAAUAAAAUGAAUUUCUCACUUUUGGAUUUUUGAUAAAUAUGAUAUGUUUUAUAGUUUUUUGGAUUUUUCAAGUUUGGUAGUUCAUCUUUGACAAGAAAAAAAAUUAAACAUGUCGGUUUCUUUGAAAAAUCCAAUAUAUUUUAAAAUUUUCUGGUAUAUUUGAAACACCAAUAAAAAAUAAUUUUUUCCAAACAAACUAUGACUUUAUAUCUGUGUUUUUGAAAAAAUCCAAUGUAAAACGUAUGAUUUUACACCGGGUGUUUUUAAAAAAUUUGAUAUAAAAUUAUAGUUUUAUGAAUAAAUAUGUUUCUCACCUAAUCUAUAAAAUAAGUGUAAAUAGUAUGUUUUUACAUCUAUUUUUCAAAAAAAUUGAUAAAAUUUCUUAGACCCAAAAAACCCUAUAAAAACUUAUAAACCCUUCAAAAAAUUCUGGUAAAAUCUCAAAACAAAAUUAAAAAAUUUGAUAACACAAAAUUUAAAAGAAAAUAUAAAAUUUAAGAAGGGCAUUAAGAUAAAAACACUACUCAUGUGAAUUGCAAGGUAAAAUUUUAGAGAUGACCGGAUAAAUCCCAUAACUACCAUUAACCAUAUUGCCCCUUGGAAAUACAAGCACAAUCCGAUUUUAUUAAAUUAAAUUACUUUAAUUAAAUCGUUCUAUCAUGUGAUUCCAUAGAUUACCAUGACGUUUGCAUUAAUAAUAAAUAAUUUUUUAAUUUCUGAGUCGUAAGUGAUUUCUAAUAACACAUUACUUUUACUUAAACGAUAAGAAAUAUGAAGAAAAAAAAUCACUAUUUUGUUCUUAUACAAUGAUACAAUCAUUUAAUAAGUAGUAUAUGUGUUGUCCAAAAAUAUAAUUUAUAUUUUGUUGUUUUUUCCUUUUAUGAAAAGUUAUAAAACAAUGAAAUUUUAUUGAUUUUUUUUUUAAUAUGAUCUCUUUAUUAAGUUUAUUUAAGAGGCAAAAACAAUACAUUGAUAUACAUAAGGGACAUUUAGUAAUAAUUAUAAUUUUGUAAAGUUAUUUUUACAAUUAUUUAAGAGCAAAAAAAUCGUUUUAUUGGCAUAAGCAGAGAAUGAACUUUGUAUUUAUAGAGUGAUAAAACCAUUUAUUAUAUAGAAAAGGGAUAAAUAUGACUAAAUUUGUAAAGUUUGUUUAUGUCAUGAUUUUUAUUCUUUCUCUAUUUCUUGCUGCAACAAACGUUGAAUGUAAGUAAUUUUUAUCCUUUUUUUCGAAUUUUCUUAUUUACUUUUUGAACAAUUUUUUAAUCAAUCUAAUUUACAUUACUUUAUAUUAUUUUUCUCCUUUCAGCGUGGCGUGGUGAAAGACGUUGUUUAAAAGAUUCAGAUUGUAUAGAUAAGUGUAGAAAACCAACUAUAAUUAAGUGUGUAGAUCGUUAUUGUAAAUGUAUACCGAUAUUUCAACCCCUAUCCAAGAGUACCCAAUUUCACUAAAAUAAUUUUUCUAUCAUUUAGUUAUUAUGUUUGUAUUAGCACCUUAUAAUUUUAUUUUUCCUUCUAUAUCUAAUAUCAAGACUAGUAUUUUUAUCACUGUAAUAUAACACGAUGGAUAUGAAAUAAAAUAAGGCGUCCUUUAAUAUUGAGUUGAGAUCAUUUUCUUCUUUUAUUGUUAGAUAUAUUGCAAUAACCUUCGAUUAAGGCAUUUUAAUUUUUCAUACACUUAUAAAGUUGAAUAUAAACUUUUUACAAGUUCUCGUAAACAAACUAAAAGUUGUAGAGAUAGUCAUCCCGAAGCUUUUUAAAUUGGUGCAAUAAUUGGAAAAUUUUCAUCUUCAUGAAAAAGCUACGGGAAAAAAUUAUUGCAGAGUUAUCAGGACUUCUCACUAGAGAAAAUAUAGAAAUAUCUUCUAAUCGAGGAGGAAUGGAAAGAUAUAGAGAAAUCCAAGCCUGCUAGAAAUUCUAAAGCCAAUUGAGUGAGUGCAAAAGGCAAGAAUAAAAAUUACGGCAUGAAGAACCAUCUUCGACCUAAUCGGGAAUAUUAAUCUUGACCCGUAAUGGUGUACUUAUAUGGAAAUUUUAUUCCGUUAAGGGAAUGAUAAAACUUUGUAUUACCGACAAUAUUAUAAAUAAAAUUUCUAUUUCUUCUUAAAUGCUUGAAUCUGUUUCUUUAUUACAUACUAGAUUAGCAAAUAUUGUUAUUAGUACUAUUAAGAGACUAAGUAAAUUUGGUUUGAUCUCAUGCGAUGUUGAUGAUUUCAAAAAAUCUGAAAUAUGUAUUAAAUAAAAAAUGAUUAAGAAGUCUUUCCAAAGUGUAGAAAGAAAGACCAACUUGCUUGAUCAUGUGCAUUCAAACUUGUGUGAAUUUAAUGACAUGUUAAUCCGUGGGAGAAAUAGGUAUUUCAUUAUCUUUAUCAAAGAUUUCUCUAGGUUCACACGUGUAUAUCUUUUAAAGCAUAAAGAUGACACCUUUAAUGUCUUUAAAAUUUAUAAAGCGGAAGUAGAAAAUCAAUUAAGUAGAUAUAUCAAAUUCCUUAUGAGUAAUAGGGAGAAUGAAUAAUUUUCUACCGAAUUUGAUGCGUAUUGUGAAAAAUAUGGCAUAAUACAUGAAUGUUUUACACAACGUAUACCAUAAAAAAAAAUUAGUCUAGCCCGAAGAAAGAAUAAGACAUAUCAAGAAAUGAUGAAUUCCAUGUUAAUUCAUUCUGAAUUUCUAUAUAAUUUGUGGGGUAAAUCCUUACUAUCUACUUGUCAUAUAAUGAAUAAAAUUCCUUUAAAGAAAAGAGGUAUUUCUUUGUAUGAGGUAUGGAAAGCCUGAGCGUCAAAUAUCAAUUAUUUUAUAGUAUAGGGCUGUGUAGCAUAUUAUAGUAACAUGGAUCAUAAAAGAACAAAAUUGGAUCCUCAAGGGAUCAAAUGUGCUUUUGUAGGAUAUGCACGUAAUAGUAAAACAUAUAACCUUUUAAAUUUGGAUUCUAAUGUAAUUUUUGAAUCACAAGAUGUGGAAUUCUUUGAAAACUUUAUUAUAAAGGAUAAGGAAUUUGAGAUUCCCACAAACAAAGAAUUUCGUGAGGAAGAUUCUCCAUUUAUUGUUGAAAUAUAACCCUAAAUUCCUUCACAUAUUUUGAAACUAAACUUGAGUCUAUGAUAAAAAAAAAGAGCCCGGAAAGCAAAGGAUUUAGGAUAAACAAAUUAAUUUUUGACUCAUUUAUUUUUAUCUAGUUGAAGGAAAUUGUGAGAAAUAUGUUCAAAAGAUUCCUAUUAUUCUUCAUGUGGAUGAUGAUCCUAAAACCUAAAAAGAAACAGUAGCUUUAAGGGGAUCUUCCUUUUGGAAGGAUGUUAUCCAAGACAAAAUGGGUUCAAUUAUGUCAAACCACACUUGGGAACUUGUCGAUUUACCUAUGGGAUUGAGGUUCAUUUGAUGCAAAUGGGUGUUUAAAAUGAAGUAACAUAGUGACAAUUCAUUAAAUAAUUACAAGGAUGGAUUAAUAGCAAAGGGUUUUAGAUAAAAGGAAGGUUUUAAUUAUUUCGUUGACACAUAUGCACCAGUAGCCAGGAUGAGGGCAAUUAGAGAAUUGUUUGCAUUAGAUUCUUUGAAUGACCUUAUUGUUCAUCAAAUAGAUGUUAAAACAUCAUUCUUAAAUGGAGAUACCAAUGAGGAAAUCUACAUGGAUCAACCAGAAGGUUACAUGCUUCCUGGAAAUGAACAAAAUGUGUGCAAGCUUGUCAAAUCCUUGUAUAGAUUAAAGCAAGCACUGAAACAAUGGCACCAAAAAUUUGACCCUAUCAUACUUUCAAAUGGAUUUGUUUCUAAAUCUUAUGACAAUUGUUUGUACACAAAGGUGAGUGAGAACAUUCUAACAUUCAUUUGUCUCUAUGUUGAUUACAUGUUGAUUAUUAGCAACGAGAUGAAUGGGAUUUUAGAAACAAAGAGGUUUCUAAAUUUCACAUUCAAGAUGAAAUUUUUUGGAGUAGUCAACACUAUUUUAGGCAUCAAAGUAAAGUGAAAUAGUGGGGUUAUUAAGUUAGUCAAACACACUAUAUUUUGAGGAUCAACCACACAAAUCCUAGGACAUGUGCAAAUCUAAAUAACUUUGUAAAUCUCCAGAACAACUUUUGUGUCUUUUAUUUGGCUCACUAAGUCUUUCAUGUCGAAAAGUUACUGACUAAAAUGUUUUAAGUAAAAAAUAAACUUAGCAAGAAUAAGAUAAAUGGCAAAGAUAAAUGGCAAAGCAUAAAUUGUCGAAAAGAAAAAUGCAGAAAGAUAAAUGACUGGAAAACAUAAAGGGAAUUGAUAAAGAACUUUGAAGUUUAUAAAAUAAAACUUUGAAAGAAAUGGUGUUUGUUUACACGUACAUGUUCCAAAUAUGACUCUUUUCUCUCACAUGGGUACUUUGAGUAUUUGCAGGAAUUUUGUACAAGUUUUCACACACUUUUUCAGAUAACAACUAUCGUAUUUAUAUACAAACAAAAAUAACUGUUACUAACGAAUAAAUCCUAAAACUAUGACACUUGGCCUUCUGCAUAACUUCCUUUCGCCAGAUGCUUCCACGCGUCUUCCGCCAAACGUCACAACUCUUUUGAAUUUGAAAUUACACUUUACGUCGAAAUGACGUCUCUCUCCAGACUUUGUCGAAUUGUCAAAAUACAUAGCAUCCUCCAUGUCUGUCAAAAACGUCUUUCCAUCUGCAACUAUCUUGUCGAAAUGUCGAACCAUUAUUUUGUCGAAGUGUCAAACAACACUUUAUCAAUUAAACUGUUAAUUCCAUGGCGUCAUUUGUCGAAAGAACCAUUCUGCAUACUAAUCUCAUGGCGUCAAAAACGCACGUAUACAAAUUGCCCCCCAACAAAGAUGUUUCAACUGUUUUGAAGAAACAGUCAUUUGUUGUCAACCAGUAUUUUGAUGCCAUGUCAUUUAAUUUCAUUAUUCCCAAGUUUUUUGUAAUCUCAAUUUCCAAUACAGAUUCAUCAUUACACUUUCUCUAAGAUGUCAUGUCUAGCCCACGUUCAGACUCUACCUCCAUCAUUUCCUAACAUCAUGGCCUCUUUUCCACUUCCACCUCUUCAAUAUCACCAUAAAAACCGGCCACGUGUCCACGAUCAUCAUUAACAUUUCAAAGCUUCAUGGCCUCUUUUCCACUUCCACCUCUUCAAUAUCACCAUAAAAACCGGCCACGUGUCCACGAUCAUCAUUAACAUUUCAAAGCAUUUUUAUCAUCUUCCUUCUAUAAAUACCCAUAAACCAUUUUACAUCAGCCUACUACCAUUGAAGUUAAACUCUUUGAUGCUGAAUUUAACUAGAUAUUUCAUUAUCUUGAUACAAACUCUUUGUUGGUUCCGUUUUUUCCAUCCCCUAUUAUGUAAAACUCAUGACAUUUCACAAACUAACAAUAGAGGUGACCCGUGUUCAGGUUUGGAAUGGUGGAGAAGUUGAAGAUUUAAAACGAAAAAUCUCUGAUGUUAUUUAUAAGAGAUUAUUUUUUAAAAUUUAUUAAAUAAGCAAUGUAUUUGUACGUAUCAUGGAUGUAAUAUACUUAUGAUUUAAUAAAUCUAAUAAGAUGUUAUUUAUAAGAGAAAAUUUAUUUUUUAAAUAAUAUAUCUGGAUUGUAUCAUGGACCAAUUUCUUUUGUAAAUAAGACCAAAGAGAAUAUUUAAAAUGUGUUAUGGCUUAAACCUCAGAUUUAUAUUCCAAAGAUGAAUUGCUUCCUCUUCCUCUAAGGUGAACAAGGAAGUGCCUUAGAAGAAUUCGUAGAUGCAAGGAUUAUAGGCUUAGUUCAGUGCGCACACACUAGAUCAUAUAUAUAGUCAUCCUAAUUAUAAAAUUUAUUCUAACACCUCCAAAAUUUGAUUGGGUACUACUCCCAAUUUUUGUUAAAAUCAAUGUUAUUUUUGACAAAAUUUUAACUAAAAUAUUCAAAUGAAAAAUUUAAUAGAACAAGUUAAGAAUCUGAUAUGAAUUGAAAAGUCUAAUAGUGUAUUUAAAAAAAAUUGUAUACAUUUUUAUUGAUAUUUUAAAAUAAAAUGAAUUUCUCACUUUUGGAUUUUUGAUAAAUAUGAUAUGUUUUAUAAUUUUUUGGAUUUUUCAAGUUUGGUAGUUCAUCUUUGACAAGAAAAAAAAUUAAACAUGUCGGAUUUCUUAGAAAAACAAUACAUUAAUACACAUAUAUAAAAUAAAAAUAACAAGUGUAUAUAUUUUAUUAAACUUAAAACAAAUGUAUCUAUAUAUUUAUUAAAAGAAAACAAAAAGCAUAUAUGCAUUAAACUUAAAAUAAAUGUAAACGUAUAUAUUCAUUAUCAAAUGAAAUAUGAUAAAAUGGGGUUUACGGUGGAAAGAAAUGAAAAGAAAAAAAUACAAGUCUUUUAUGGUGAGUGUUUGUAGUAAUGAGAAAUGAAGAGUGAUUUGUGAAGAAGAAAAUGAUAGUCAUAUUGAGAAGUUUGUUAUAGGAAAAUGAAGGAUACAUAUGGUGUUGUUGAAGGAUGGUCAUUGUGUGUUUUAAAGUAGCAGCAAGAAGUGAGAUAAUUGAAAUGGGGUAGUGAGGAACAAAGUUAAGGCUUUUGUUUAAUGUUGAUGAAAUAAAGUUCUCAUUUUUUUUCAAGAAGAACACAUUUUUCCUAUCGAAGCAAAAACCAAAUAGAAUUCUCUCUUUUCACUUUUUCUCAUUCUUUGAUAGUGUCCGCCGUUUCUGGUUUUUUGGUGGUGACCCCUAGUGUCAUGGACAAUGAAGUUAUUUAUAGUGUAUGCUUAGGGUUUAACAAAAUUUCAAUAAGUCUAGAAUGCCCUUGAUAUUUAUUUUAAAGAUAAAAUCAAUUAAAACUAAAUAAAAUUCAUCCCCUAGUGUCAUGGACAAUGAAGUUAUUUAUAGUGUAUGCUUAGGGUUUAACAAAAUUUCAAUAAGUCUAGAAUGCCCUUGAUAUUUAUUUUAAAGAUAAAAUCAAUUAAAACUAAAUAAAAUUCAACACUUUAAAAUAAUCAUAAUAAAAUUAAAAUAACACUAUAGUUAAAUCUAUUUAUUUUUUAUGAAUAUGUUGAUAAAAAAAUAAACGCACUCAAAAUGAAUAAAAAAUCGGGCGCAAAAGUGUCCAAAAAAUUAAAAUGAAUGCACCUAAAUGAUCAGUGCGAAAUAAACUUAUUGGAAAAAUACAACAUUUCUUUUAAUUUUGAAAUAAAUUUUGACCGGUUAAACAGGCUCGAGCUGAUCAAAAAGUGACCAAAAAAUAAGUUGAAAAAAUAAAUCGAGCAUACCAGAUUAAACUACACGAAACGUAGAUUAAUAAAACUGCUGUCUAGAAGCUUGAUUUUAAAAAAUUCCGUCCACUGAUUUGGCGCACAUCCGUCGAUUAAUUCAACCGGUUUUCCUGUAGAUCUGAAAAAAUUAUUUCGACUGAUAUUCUAAGCACUAUGCGGUAUGGAAUGCAUGGUAUGCUAUGUAGAGGUGCAACAACUAUGAUGAAUAUAUUGAAUCGGGAUUCAGGGUCAAAAUCGGGGUGUGACAGUUGCCCCUAUUUAGGUAUCUUCAACUAGAGAAUAUGAAGUAUGUCAAUCUUCAUAUCAUCCUAGUGGGAGAUAGUUAAAUACUAGGAAGACCCGGAUUUUGAUCCUGAAAUACAAAUGAUAUGAUAUGAUAUGUUAUGAAUUUAUGAAUGACUGUUUUUGUUUUUGAUUUGCUGGAGAUAUGACUAGACAUAAGAUAAACUCUAGCCGGAUGCUUUAUGUUGGAUGCAGAAUGAAACAAAGAUCUAUGGGGAAUGAUGGAGACAUAUGGUAAAGGUGACCCACAAAAAACAAAAAAAUGAGGGUAGAAACUCAUUGGGGAUAACAAUUCUAUUGGAGGAAAGACAACUGGGGAAUAUGGAAAGAGAUUUUAACAACAGAUUCAUACAUGACCUGGAAACACCGGAAUAUUCAAAGAGUUUUAAACAAUAGGUUCCAACAUCACCUGACAACACUUGAAUAUUCAAAUAGUACUCAAUUAGCAGGUUCAUACAUGACCUGACAUCACUAGGGAACAUACAAAGAGGGUUUGAAUGACAGGUUCACACAUGACCUGGUGACAGCUUGAACAUCAAGGAAAGUUUAGUCAAUAAGUUCAUACAUGACCUGACAACACCAAAAAAAAUCAAAUAAUUCCAUCAGUAGGUUCAUACAUGAACUAACCAUUGGAAUAUUCAAAGAGUUUCAAUAAUAGGUUCAAACAUGACUUGACAAUGCUGGGGUAUAUUAAAAAUAUCUAUCAACAGGUUCAAACAUGACCUGACAAUACCGAAAAAAUACAAAGAAAGCUUUAUCAACAGACUCAUACAUGACUUGACAACAUGGGAAAAUUCAAAGUGUUUCAACAACACGUUCAUACAUGACCUGAUAAUGCUAGAAAAUCAAGGAAAGUUAAAUCAAUAGGUUCGUACAUGACCUCAACAUUAGGAUAUUCAAGGUAAGUUUCAUCCAUAGGUUCAUACAUGACCUAACAAUACUUGGAAAAAUCAAAGGGAGUUUUAUCAACAGGUUCAUACAUGACCCGACGACACUGGAAAAUUCAAAGAAAGUAUAUCCAUAGGUUCAUGCAUGACUUGGCAAUUAUGGAGGUUUCACAGAGAUUUUAACAACAGGUUCAUACGUGACCUGAAACCACUAGAAAACCCAAAGAAAACUUCAACAACAGGUUCGUACAUGACCUAAAAAUGAUGGAAAACAUACCAAGCGAGUUUCAUCAACAGGUUCAUACAUGACGUAACACUUUAGAAUACAUCUGACAGUUUUUGAGAUUUCUCACAUGAAAUUCAUCCGAUCAAAGAUUUUGGAGAUUCCUAACAGGGAAUUUAUAUAGAACAAAGAUAAACGGGAGUCUUCUUAUAAGUAGAUCAUCCACACAAAAGGCUACGAUGAUUCUUUACAAAGAAAUCAAACAAAACCAACAUCAUUAGAGUUUUCUAACACGAAAACUUCCAAGCUUCUGGGAAUUCCUCAAGAUGAUGAGUCAUACAUGACCUUCACGGAACCAUCAGGAAAAACAGGGUAACCAAACUCUCUGUAUGUGCCAACAAUGAUUGGACUUUAACCGUAAGCAAUGGAUUACAACCAACUUUUAAAGGAUUUUGCCAACAACUAUUGGACUCUGACUGUAAGCAAUGGAUUACAACCAACUUUUAACAGAUUUUUCCAACAACAAUUGGACUUUGACCGUAAGUAAUGGAUUACAACCAGCUUUUAACAGAUUUUGCCAACAACAAUUGGACUUUGACUGUAAGCAAUGGAUUACAACCAGCUUUUAACAGAUUUUGCCAACAACAAUUGGACUUUGACUGUAAGCAAUGGAUUACAACCAGCUUUUUAACAGAUUUUGCCAACAACAAUUGGACUUUGACUGUAAGCAAUGGAUUACAACCAGCUUUUAACAGAUUUUGCCAACAACAAUUGGACUUUGACUGUAAGCAAUGGAUUACAACCAGCUUUUAACGGAUUUAUGCCAACAACAAUUGGACUUUCACCGUAAGCAAUGGAUUACAAUCAACUUUUAACGGAUAGAUGCCAAGCACAAUUGGACUUUCACCGUAAGCAAUGGAUUACAACCAACUUUUAACGGAUAGGAGCCAACAACAAUUGGACUUGACCGAGGGUAUUAGUAAAAUAAUUACUGGCUACAACGGAGUUUACCAGCAACAACUGGACUUGAAAUGAUGUUGGCGACAACCAAACUUCAGAUAUCAAUUAUGAUUGUAUUUACAAACGGAGUGACAAUGAUGCCAAUGACAAUUGGAUUUAAAACGAGUUCUAGUAACAACUAACCUUGGAAUAAUGUCUAGUGACAACUAAAUUUUAGGAGACACUAAUGCGUCUAGAAAUAAUGCUAGGGAAUCACAUAGGAGUUCUAGAAGUGCGUCAGAACAAAAAUGACAUGUCUGAGAAUUCAUCGGAGAGUAAAAGAAACAAAUUCUGGAAAUGCAUCAGAAUACAGACACAUCUGGUAAUACAUUGAGGAAAUUCUGGAAAUACAUCAGAAUAUAGACACAUCCGAGAAUACAUCAGAUAGGUGGGGAAACAUUUGGAAAUACAUCAGACAAGUUAUGAAAAUACAUCAAUAAACAAAAGAGUAAUCCGGAAAUUCAUCGGAUAAUCCAAAAAGGAAUUAAACCUCAUGGACAAAGUUUUUUUUGAUAGGUGCCAACUGAGUUGGACUUGAAAAUGACUGCGAAAAUCGGAUGAUGGUUUAAGGGCACCAAAGACAAACUGGAAUUAGAGGUCAAAGGAUAUAGGAUCAAUAACAAGACCUGGGUCAAAUGCAAAAUGAGCACGAAGUACAUUUCAGAUAUGCAUGAUUUGAAUUUAUUUUUAUGCAUGAUAUAUGAAUGAUCAUGAUAUGAAAAUGAUGACACUUGAGUGGACUGGGAGUUUGUAAAGGCUUUUUACGGAGGCCAUGAUUCCUCAACACCGAGAACUCAACUAAAUAUUUUGUGAUAGAUGUUGUCAAAGGAGAAUUCUACCGAGCUUGACAGCCACAACUUAGCCAAUGAGAUCCUUCUUGAGGGGGGUCUGCCCCUCUGUGGCUCAUCUUGCCCCAAACUGUUGGGUCUUUGAAAAUGUUCACCUUGAAAGUGACUUUGAAAUAACUUGACAUGAAGCCAUCUCGAGAUGGCUUUCCCCAAUGUUUGAAUACCGCAGUAAUCUGACCCUGAUUAACCAAAACUUAGAAUGAUAGACUUUUGAUUGAUUGUCCUUGGAUAGUUUGACUCAAUGAGCUUCUAAGGUGGCUUUCCCCAGUAUGAGUCUUGAAGCAAAUUACUCUUGACUAGAUGAUCCUUAGGGUGAUUGGCUUGGAUUGACUGAUACUCAAAGUGAUUUGCCCCUGACUGGACUUCUUUCACUUUAUCAAGUUAUUCAAUUGUAUACUGUUGGAAUUUAUUUGAUGCUAAAUGGUGACUUGCAAAUAAGAUUGUUCAUUCAAAAAUGGAAAUUUUAAUGUAGUGCUUAUGCAAAAAUUUGAAAUCAAAAUUUAUUGAUAUGAAUGGGUGAAAUACAGUGAACGAGUCAUUAAUAAGAACACAAUGGUGAUCAAGUCAUUCACAGUAUGCAAGUUGGUGCCAUUAAAUGAUUAACAAAAAUCGUUUGGAGUCAGGUUAACAUAACCUUGUUGUAGUAUGCUUUUAGAAUAAACUCUGCCUCAAUUAGGUCUUUUAAGGGUUGUAAUGUGGCCUGGUUCACGGUUUUUUAAACAAAAAGGAUAUAAGGCUCAAAAUUUAAUUUUUACCCACCCUUCUUCUAGAUGAUCUCCAGUUUCUACGUUCAGUUAACUCAAUACAUGCAUUCGACUUCGAAGGUGUGAAGGUGAAAAUGAGGAUUCAAGAUGAGAUUUUCUUGAAAUGACAAUCACCUUAUUUUGUUUUUGCUGAGGAUGACGUGACCUCUUUUGAUAUUUUAUAUCCCUAAUUUUUGCCUGGACCGCUUCUUUGAAACUUUUGGUCCACCGGGAUGCCCUGAUUUUUGCCUAAGUCGUUUUUAUGGUAUUUGACUUAGCGGACUUUUUUCUGUUUUAUUUUUUGAAAAAUUGUGACUACCAUGUUAUUCGUGGAUGAGGAAGAACCACUACAAUUUUUUAUUUUCUCAGUUUCUACGACACUUCAAAAUGUGUGCGAAGAAUAACAAGUGGUUGAACUUAUUUGAAGGAUGUGUAGAGAUGGGCAAAUCCUCUUGAAAACUGAAUGCAUAUUCAAACUAUCUGAACAUAACUACCCUGCCCCUGGUUAAGAUUAAGGGUUUUUAAAUUUGAAAUAAACACCAACUUCUAGGCUCAAAGUGGUUGACUAGGGAUUAACUCCUUAUCUCUUCGGUGUUUGGGGAUUUGAAACAAUGCCUUACAUCAUCGACAAGGUUUUCUUCAAAAGCAUACCACAACAAUUUUAGGUGUUUCGUUUUCAUCAUCCUCAUUCCAAUCUUUGUUAACACAACGGUUUGAUAAAUAAAAGUGAAUGAGAGGAGUAUUUUUGUUUUUAACAUAAAUGAAAAACGAGUGAAUCGAAUGGAUUAAUUCAAAAUAUGCAUAAACAUUUCAUUAAUCUUACCAAUUCAAAGAAAACAACAAUGCUUAAAAGCAAUUAACAAUUAACAUGCAAGGAAACUACAAAAGAAAUGCUGAAACAACCAAAUAAUUGCCAACUUUAGGGAAUUGACUUCUUCAAACUUGAUCCAUUAAUAUAGGGGGACACCCCUUGAGAUCUUCGCACUUAUCUGGCCGAUAGGUUAACGUUUACCACCAAGCUUCCUUCUUGAAAGGCUAUGUACCUGUUGUCAAUCAACUGUUGUACUUUGGCUUUGAAAGCGUUGCAGUCUUUGGUUGAAUGCCCUUCUGAUCCGACAUGAUAUCCACAUUGCACAUUUGGGUCAUACCCGGGUGGGUAAGGUUGUGGAACCGGCUUAAGAGACUUGGGAACCACCAACGAGUUUUGAAUCAUAGGUUGGAGAAGUUGGCUAUAUGUCAUGACAAUUGGAUGACGAGGAGCAUUUCUUCUUUCCAAGUUAGUUUGAGGCCUAUGUUGAUUUUGAUAUCUCGAGCCUUGGGCUUGUUGAUUUGGAUGAGAAGCAAACCAGGAUUGUUGGUAAUGAAGACCAAAAGGUAGUGGUUGUUGGUAUGGAACUUUGGGCAUUACUAACUGCUCAUUUUCAGCCACGUGAAGGUUAGGAUCAAGAAGCUUUUUGACAUUGGCAUGACGAUCUUCAAAUUCUUUUCCUUCAAUCUCAUUGUUGAACGCAACCCUCUUGGAUCCACUACUCACUUCUCCAUGCUUUCGUUGGUAUGGUUCGUGACAUUGGAAAUCCAAGGUGAUAUCUUAAUGCUCUUACCAGGAAAUGAUGAUAUCUCAUUAGCCACAUCCCUGACCUCUUCCUUGUGGUACAAAACCUUGAGGGGUUUCAAGGGUCCUCUCCCUUUCUCAUUACCUGGCCCAGAAAUCAAGAUAUAUGUACCUGAGCCUUCCUCCUUGAGUGUUGGCGACCUUAUGUCAAUCAAUCUUUGCAGCUUGAGCUUAAAACUCUUGCAUUCCUCGAUGGAGUGCCCCAUUGUUCCAGUAUGGUAUCCGCAGUUGAUCUUCGGGUGAUCUUAUUCAAAGACUAAGCUCUUUUUGUUAAUCAGUUCUCGUACCAAGGUUUUCAGUGCUAAGCAAGAAUCCAGGUCAUGUCUCACUACUCCUUUAUGGAAUUCACAUGUUGCAUUUGGAUUGUACCAGAGUAGGUAUGGUGACGUAGGUGUGAGAGCUCGAGGGGUCACCAAAGCAUUCUGGAUCAGCUGCGGGUAGAGCUUGUUAUAUGGCACCGGAAUCGGGUCGUUGUGAUUUUUGUUCCCCUUGUUCUGAUUCUGAUUUUUGUUCCGAACCUGACUUCGGUGAUUUUGAGGAGGAAUAUCCAGAGGAUGUUGAUGAUGACAUCCUGAAGGAGGGCCAUAUGUCGGUAGAUGAGGAGUUGCCACAUAGAAUUUCCAUUGACUUGGGGUAAUACCGGAUGGAUGUGGAGCAAUAGCUCCCUCUAUUGCAACAAUAGGUAUGGGAUGAUCCUCUUUUCUUAAUAAGGCUUACAGGGUUUCCACGACCCAUCUCAUUCGGCUCUUCAAAAGAUUGAGUUCCCCCUUCAAUGCUUCUUGACUUUUCCUUAGCUCGUCCAUCAUCUCUUGAGACAUGGUUCUUCGUUCGAGACACGUGUUGGGAAUCACUUUGCUGAUCAUAGACAAAGGCCGAAUGAGUUUUUUGUAUUUUGUAUGGAAAAUGACAUGCAUUCUGAUGAGAUGCAGAUGCAAUGGAAUGUGAACGAAUGCAAUGCAAGCCAUGUAUAUUUUUCUUUUCAAUACACGGGUUCAAAAGUCUGAGGUACUGAUGAAUCUGAUUGCUUUCCAAGAAUAGGUUCUCACCGGGUAUGAUCUAGGGUUACAAAGGUUCCCAGAGUCAUGGGUCCAUUAGAUUGUUUGCUGCCUGUGGCAACUUACUUGUCGGGCAUCAACUCCAUCCAAAGAAUCUACUCCAAGUGAGGUUCUUGCAUCGAUCCAACGAGAAAUUCAUCUCGUGGACCCACACUACGCAACCAUCUUUCCUAGUUGGCCAAAGGAUUAAGGUUCUACAAAUGGUCCUCAGAGUCAUGGAUCCAUUAGAAAAUAUCGAAGCUUACGGCAACUUACUUGCCAGGCGACAACAUCCUCCCAAGGAUCUACUCUAAGUAAGGUUCUCGCACUGACCCAACGAGAAAUUCAUCUCGUUGACCCGCACUACUCAACCUCGUCAUAUCUUAUGUUUUUACUCGAGACUCGGGUAAAAAGUCUUUCCCUCAAGGUUUGCAAUCAGAGUAUCCAAGUACCAAAGCAUAAUGGAACCAAUACAACAAAUUUAUAUCAAUAUGACAAUAAAGAUAGAAAAAGUAAUAAACAAAAGCCACGCAAGUAAACAAAAAAAAAGCACACAAACAACCUAACUAGGCUUGACUCACUUAGGGAAACAUGUUUUCCCCAACAGAGUCGCCAUUUGUCGCACCUCGAAAAAUGAGAGCACGACUUAGCGAAGCGCAAUCGCACGCUCGCAUGAUGGACUAAACAGAGUCGCCACCUAACUUUAUUUAUUCCUAAAAAGGAAAGGGGAAAUAUCGAUAAAACCCAAGAAAGAACGACAACGGUUAUGGUCAUCACAACCAAUAUCAGGGUUCGGGAGUCGAUUACGCAAGGGGAAGGUAUUAGCACCCCUUACGUCCAUUGCACUCAACGGGAACCAUUAGGUUAAUUGUGUGUGUUAUUGUUAGCUUAGAAAUAUUAGGCUUCUCGAGUUAUUAGGUCGGAAAGAAAGAAAGGGUGAGAGGAGAAUAUUUUUGGAUUUUUAACGAAGGACUAAACCUAAGUUUUUUAUUAGUGGGCCUGACAAGAUUUCGCAAUCCUGCUCCUACGUAUCUCAAUAGAGAACUCAAUAGAGGAGAAUAUUUUUGGAUUUUUAACGAAGGACUAAACCUAAGUUUUUUAUUAGUGGGCCUGACAAGAUUUCGCAAUCCUGCUCCUACGUAUCUCAAUAGAGAACUCAAGGCUUACGUAGUUCUGGAUAGAAAAUGUUUGUUUGUUGGUCGAUUUUAGCGAAAGCUAUAUUGUAUUAAUCGAGGAAAACAUUGUUUUACCCAAAACAGAUGAGGAGCGGACGUAUACCACACAUCGAAUGGAUUUACAAAUCAACAUUAGAAAAAACGUCACUUAUCUCAACUCAACAAUUGUGGCCGAAGCAUUGUUUUGCAUCAUCUCAAGACAAGAUGUCUUUCACUUAUGAAAAGGGUUUUUUGAUCAAUCGCACAACGGAGAAAAUAGAGUUUGAUUGGUUGAAUGCAUUUUUGGGCUUGAAAGACGAAUAUUUAUGACUUGCAAGCUCUUACAACUUGAGUCUAAUACUCGGGACUACGUCUGGACCUUUCACCCAGGUAAUCUUUUUCUUUCACUUUUAUUGAGAAAAGACAUUUCAAUAUUUACAAAUUUUUUGAAGAGAAGGCGAAUACAUAGGGUUUCCAAGCUCUUACAACUUGGGCCUAAUAUUCGAGAUUACGACCGGAUAUUCCAUCCAGGUAAUCUUUUUCUUCAGAUUCACUUAUAAAAAUGAUUUGAAUAUUGGAGCUUUUUGGGGAGAAGACGAAUACAUAGGGCUUACAAGCUCUUACAACUUGGGCCUAAUAUUCGGGAUUACGACUGGACAUUCCAUCCAGGUAAUCUUUUUUUUCCAAUAUUAUUUUAAGAAGAUGGUUUGAAAUUAAAUUAAAAAUGAUUAAUGUACAAAUGUUUGAAAUUAUUGAAAAUUAAGUUGAUAUUGCUUAAAACCUCAUAGUAAGAAGGCCUAAGAGUAAGCCAUAGGAUCGAAAAAUGACCGAAAUCGAAAGAAAACCGAAUUUAACUUUAAGCUAACUAGAGUAGACUCAUGUAUGAAUCGCUCCUUAAGUCGAGCAACUAAAUCUAUGUGUCCAAGCGAUUUUUGGAAGCUAAAUUGAAUUUUAACUCCGAGAUCGCAACACAAUAAAAUAAUAGUAGUAAUCAAAUAUGUUAUUAUCAAUAGUGUUACAAAAAUAUUUUUUACAUCAACUCAAAACAAUUGAAAAAAAACAGAAAGAUAACACGACACACACACACAUGCUAUCCACAAUGAAUUAAUCUUACCACAAAAUAGAACUAAAAGAAUAAAAUAUGAAACAGUACCAUCACAAUAUAUAUAUAUAUAUAUAUAUAUAAUAUAUAUUAUAUAUAUAUAUAUAUAUAUAUAUAUAUAUAUAUAUAUAUAUAUAUAUAUAAAUACCAGUGUAUAUUUUAUUAACUUAAAACAUGUAUCUAUAUAUUUAUUAAAAGAAAACAAAAAGCAUAUAUUCAUUAACUAUUAAAUAAAUGUAAACGUAUAUAUUCUAUUAAAUUAAAAAGUAUAUAUAUAACACGAAAAAAAAUAUAAUUCAUAAAGUUAAGACAAAAUCUGAGAAGUAUAUAUCACAUAUACACUAAAAACAACAUGUAUAUUAUAGUAUAUUAUAAGGCAAAAACAAGCAAUUAUAUGUAGAAACUUAUUAAACAUACAGCAAUAUAUAAUAAACACUAAUAGUCCCAAGAUAGAAAUUAUGAAAAUAACAGAUGGGGUCUCUAACAGUGGAAAGAAAUGAAAAGAAAAAAAAUACAAACGUCUUUUAUGGUGAGUGCUUUGUAGUAAGUGAGAAAUGAAGAGUGAUUUGUGCAAGAAAGAAAUGAUAGUCAUAUUGAGAAGUUUGUUAUAGGAAAAUGAAGGAUACAUAUGGUGUUGUUGAAGGAUGGUCAUUGUGUGUUUUAAAGUAGCAGCAAGAAUGUGAGAUAAUUGAAAUGCGGGUACGUGAGGAACAAAGUUAAGCUUUUGUUCUAAUGUUGAUGCAAAUAACAGUUCUCAUUUUUUUUUCCAAGCAAAACACUGUAUUUCCUAUCAGAAGCAAAAACACAAAUAGAAUUCUCUCUUUUCACUUUUUUCUCAUUCUUUGAUACUGUCCGCCCGUUUCUGGUUUUUUGGUGGUGACGCCCUAGUGUCAUGGACAAUGAAGUUAUUUAUAGUGUAUGCUUAGGGUUUAACAAAAUUUCAAUAAGUCUAGAAUGCCCUUGAUAUUUAUUUUAAAGAUAAAAUCAAUUAAAACUAAAUAAAAUUCAGCACUUUAAAAUAAUCACAAUAAAAUUAAAAUAACACUAUAGUUAAAUCUAUUUAUUUUUUAUGAAUAUGUUGAUAAAAAAAUAAAUGCACUCAAAAAGUGGCCAAAAAAUAAGCUGAAAAAAUAAAUCGAGCAUACCAGAUUAAACUACACGAAACGUAGAUUAAUAAAACUGUUGUCUGGAAGCUUGAUUUUAAAAAAUUCUGUCCACUGAUUUGACGCACAUCCGUCGAUUAAUUCAACCGGUUUUCCUGUAGAUCCGAAAAAAAAAAUUCGACUGAUAUUCUAAGCACUAUGCGGUAUGGAAUGCAUGGUAUGCUCUGUAGAGGUGCUACAACUAUGAUGAAUAUAUUGAAUCGGGAUUCAGGGUCAAAAUCGGGGUGUGACAAUACCACACACUAAAAGAAUAUAAGAGGGACCUAUCUCAGUCAAACUUGUAUUGAUUCAUCUGACACAAGGUCAUUGAUGAAUCAAUUAGCAUUUAAACAUUAGAGAUUUUAUUGGUCAAAUGAGGGAAUGGGGAAGAAUAGGGAUGAAGAUGAAGAGGGAAGGGGAAAUAGAAACACAAAUUGAUAAUGAGAGGAAUUUCAUAUGAUCAAUAUCAUCCAUUCAUUUUGGGAGAUGAAAUGUACAUUUCAUCAAUCCCCUAAAUCAAAUGGUUUUGAUCAAACAAAAGUCAAAUAAACCAUGACCAAUGCCCAAACAGAAAGCCAAACAUCACAAGACCCUAAAAAUGGCUCAACAUAAUUUUUAAACACUUAACCAAUUAAAAAUCACAUUUCAAAUGAAUAAAAAUGCAUUUUAAUUUGGACAAAACCUCAAAUCCCUUCAAAACACCAAAUAAAUGGCCAUGGGAUUUAUCCUAGGUCAAACAAGGUCAAAGGACAUUAGAUAAAAUUCCACAAUUUUUAGAAAGUCAGAAGUAUUUUAAAACAAUUAAAAAUAUGCAUAAAAACAUUUUAUUCAUGAAAAAUACCAAAAUUAAUCCAAAAAAUGUUUUUAAUUUAAAAUAUGGAAAAGAAAAAUAUUUAAAUAUUUUUGGUGAAAGUCCCAUAUUUUUUGGAUUAAAAAUGAAAUUUCUAUGAAUUAAAUAAAAUAAGUGGAUUAAAUGGCAAUUUAGAAAAUACAAAAAAAAUAAGGGUCAUCAGAUCUCCCUCAUUAAUUAAGGUGGCAAAUCUGAUGAUCAAGCGCACGAUUCACACCAUACACCUCAGCCAACGCAUCAUAGGGAUGGUAAUCACAAGGAGUGGUCAAGAUUAAAACAUUUCAAAUUGAUCAGAAGGUUGGGAAGGUGUCAACGCACCACCGGAGCCCUAGCUCCGGUGUUCUUCUUCGAUAGACCUCACCGGACUAGUAAACCACCAACCUUCACCAAAAUAAAAAGUGUGGACAUGAUUUUAAAGGAAAAAUGCUCAGGAGCUCGAAUCUGACCUCCAUUUCAUCCAAUUCCAAGUAUAUUGAAAGAUACAUGGAUAUGGAAUUUGAGGUUCAUGAUCUGAGUUGCUUCAAUUUAACCUCAAAGCAACUCAAUCUUGUUACCUACAUUGGUAGAACUUCAGACAACCAGUAAUCAAGCAAAAUAUUGAGAAAUAAGAGAGAAUCGAAGAAGAGAAGUUUGAGAAAAAUCACCUUCAGGUAGCUUGAUCUUGCCUCCAAUUUGUCUUAGCUCAACUCUAGAAGCUUGCAAGAAGUGAAAUGGAUCAAUGACAGACUUGGAUUCUUGGAGUUUCAAUCUCAAAACAGAAAGAGAGUUGAAACUCGAUUUCAAGUGAAAUAUUCAAGUUUAUCCUUUAAUGAAGGCUAGGGAUACAAGGGUUCAAAGCUUGGGCAGAAGGGAUCCUCAUUCUGAUCAUAAUGGACUUGUAUUUAUAGGGUUAUGCAUUGCUUUUCACACACUUGGAAAUUUUGCCAAAUUUAACAAAUUGGUGCAUGGAUGCAUGUGGAAUGAUUUGGGUCUAAUUCAUGAUGUGAUCUUGCUCCAAUUCAUGCACAAUGAGUACUGAAACAUUAACAUGUAAGCAUGCAAAAGGAAAUAGUCAAUUUAAUUCAAAUAUUUCCAAAACAAACCUCUGAAAGGAACCAUGUGCAAAUCCCUCAAAUCUUAUCCAAAUGAAGUGAUCCUGGAGUUUUUGGAAAGGUGACAUCAAGGGGAACAACUUUGAUGUUGAACACGUUUCCAUUUGAAGCUUGGAUCAUGAUUAACUUUGAGGUGGACGUUUGAGAAAUCAAACAUAACUUGACAUCAUUUAGAUUUGGCAUAAGCUUCAAAUGACCACUUCUUCUACCUUGAAUAACUUUUGCUAUGAGCUUCAAAUGGGAAUGGUUUCUUCAUCAAAGUUGCAGCUCUUUAAAUAUUUUCAAUUUGGUCACAAACUUGACAUCAUUUAGAUUUGGCAUAAGGGUGGUAUGCAUUUUAGAAGUUGAGGAAAAUUGCUUGUUCAAUGGUAAUGGUCCAAAAUGACCUAUAAUGUUUCCUCUUGGCACAUGCCCUUGCAAGUUGAAUUUGACAUUUAUAAAAGAAUAAAAGUUAUACAAUACAUCUUUAAAUUGACCAUUAAACUUUGAUGGCCUUCAUCUCAUAAAAAUUGAGAAAGUUAUGGUCCUUGGAAGUUGACCUCCUAAGUAGGGCACAUACAAAAUGACCUAUAAUCUUUCACCAUAAAAAAUGACUUUCCAAGAAAAACUAUAUCUUGAUGUCAACAUGAAAGUUGUUUGGAAUGUCAUAAUAAGUAACUUUGCUCUUGGAAUCAUUUUCAUAUGACAAAAAUUGUAGGAGAUAGGGUCUAGGGAACCACAGUUUUGACCAGUUGAUUUUAUUUGGUCAACCUCUUUGAACCAACUUGCAAACUUGAAAUUCUAUUGAUCUUUGGGACUCAUGGAGGAACAUAUAUGCAUAAGAGGAUGUAUGGUUAAGUAUACCUUGAUAUAUUUGACCAAAUGUUGAAGAAACUUGUUGAGGAAGUCACACAAGAUCCCUAGAUAAAUUAGGGCUUUCAAGGCAAACAAGCUUCAAACUCUUGAUGAUUUCUUGUUUUAAAUGAUAAAUUAAGAACAUUGGGAUCCAUAUAUGAUGUUUAUAACCAUUGUGACUCAUCUCUUGAUUGAUCUCUUGCACUAAGGGUCUCAAACCCUAGUUGUGAACUUGAUAAAGCCUUGGUGGAUGCACGCACUACCUAUAAAUGAAACAAAGCUACACAUAGACAUAUUUUUGUAUUUUGUUUAGUAAACAAAGAAAAACAAAGUAUGAUACAAUCAAAUAUGUUUGGUGAUCUCUCCCAAUGCAAACCCAAUGAAUUAGGGGUAAGGAGUUACACAUAGACAUAUUUUUGUAUUUUGUUUAGUAAACAAAGAAAAACAAAGUAUGAUACAAUCAAAUAUGUUUGGUGAUCUCUCCCAAUGCAAACCCAAUGAAUUAGGGGUAAGGAGGAUGCCAAGGUGUGAUCCCAAAGUCGAUGCAAAUGAUGAGAUAUCAUAAGGGAUCUUAGGAUAAAAAUUGGGAUCUUACACCACUGCAUCCAUUUAGGGACAUUUCAUGUCUAAAUAAUAAUUUAUCUAACCAAAUUACUUUUUCUGAUGAUAUAAUAACAUAAUUCUUAACAAUUAGUUUGAAAUUAUGAACAAAUAUGAUGUUGUUAAGAAUAUAUUGUUUCAAACCAACUAGCUAAGUUGUAUAUUGUCAAUUGAUUUCGGAUUCCAAUGUGAAAUAUCUAUCACUACUACCAAGUUAAUUAUUCUCUCUCUCUCUCUCUCUCUCAAAUGAAAAUAUAUUUAUGAACUGAUAUUCAUUGCUCAUCUCUUCUCUCUCUCUCUCUCUCGUCAGUCUGUCACUCGUCUCUCCGUCUCUCGUCUCCGUCUCUCUCUCCCUCUGCUCUCUCUGGCACCAGUAUUAUUGGAACAACAACUCUUUCCAGUAGUCUACUCUUCUCUGUCGUUCUCUUCUCGUCUCUAGUCAUCUUCUAUGCGAUUUCGAAGGUAAGUUAUGGUAAAAAGUAAUGACCAUUCUUUAACAUGAUGGGUUUUCAACCAACAUAUGUGUUUUCUUCUUCAUCGUAUGUGUUGUCUUCUUCGUUGUAUGUGUUUUAAUCUUCAUUGUCUGCGUUUUAGUCGUCAUCGUCUUCUCUACCAUGCUUUGACAUGAUGGGUUUUCAACCAGCAUAUGCGUUUUCUUCUUCAUCGUAUGCGUUGUCUUCUUCGUUUUAUAUAUUUUAAUCUUCAUUGUCUGCAUUUUGGUCAUCAUCAUCUUCUCUACCAUCAUCUACGUUUUAAGAUUUUGUCGUCAGUGUUUCCAUCUUCAUCUGAAAUAGUUGGUCUACUGGGUUUUUUUGUCAACAUGCUUUAAGUAUGAUUUACGAAAGGUCUUCAUGAACUUCAUAUAUUUCUUUUUAGAUUUCAUUAUUUUGAAGUAUAUGAAACUAAAAAUCUUGCUGAUUUUGUUGUUGUAUUAUGUAGGAAAUAAAUUGUUUUCUACAAAAAAGCUUAAUAUUUUGUGUUUAAUUUGCUGAUGUCAUUGUUUUGUAGUAUAUGAUACUAAGUGUUUAACUUGAAGUUGUAUUUUUGAAACUAAUGACAAGGCUGAAAAAUGUAGGCUGAAACUAAUGGCAAGGCCAUUUGAGAAAAUAACUGAUAUUAAUAAGACGAAAGAUUUAUGGAAAAUUGCAGUAAAAGUACACCACAAAUGGACUGUAAUUUCUAACAACAAAGAGCACAUUCAACUUAUAUUUGUUGAUGCAAACGUAAGUGUAACAUGGGUAUUUCGAUUUAACUAUCUUUUGGUAAUGGCCUAAAUGAAACAUAUGUUUGGAAUUUAUUUGUAGGACACAGAUGUUCAUGUUAUAGUACCGACAACUUUGAAAGCAACGUUUGAUUCAGUUUUGUUGGUUAACAACACUUAUACUGUGACAAAUUUCCUGCCUCAAAUUAAUGAUCUCAUGUUCAAAACCUCCGAACAUCCUUUUGUUAUAAGGUUUAUAGCUGGAACUUGUGUUUCUGAUAUAAAUAAGCAUGAAAUACCUGGGAAAAGGUUGAACUUCAAGCCAUUUGCUGAGAGUAUUUCUGGGAACUAGAGGAAUGAUUUAUUAGUAGGUAAGAUGCUAUGGUUAUUUUCUUUUCAGCUUUAACUUGUAGCUUAUAUUAAUAUAAUCACUAUGGUUUCUCCAUAAAUGUUGUUGAUUAAUAAUUUCUUUACCCUUAGAUGUUAUUGGAAUGGUAGAAGAGAUUGGGUAUAGACAUAUGAGUGCUGGAAGCAAGAAGCAACAAGUGAACCUAAUUCUAAAACACCUUGUGUAAAUGUUCUCCUUUUUAAUUCGUUUUUAUGACAGUUUUUAUGUUUCGACUUUAACUAUUAUUCUUAUUGUACUAUAUAAUUUUUUAAAGCAAUCUUUUAAAAUGUGAAGGAAUGCCACAUUGAACUGUACUCUUUGGGAAGCAUAUGUUGUGAAAUUCAUGAACUACGUUCAAAUGAACAAAGACGGUGGUCCGACAAUCAUAUUGUUACAAUAUGCGAAAGUUAAAGUCGAAGGUAUCUUUAUUCUUAUUAUUGAGUUAAUAACAUUAAAUCAAAUAACAUUAUGUCAUACUUACUUAUAAAUGUUUGUUUUUAAAUAGGCAAUCUGCUUUCUGUAUCGAACAUGUACAACAUAACAGAUCUGCUCAUUAACGAAGACGUCCUGGGUAUAGUUGAAUUUUGAAGUAGAUAAUAUUUUCUAUGUAUCCGCUUUAUAAAAAAUUGUUAUAUUUUAUUGUGUUGAUUGGUUUUAAAGGCCAUCAAUGGACAACAACAUGAAAAUUCUAUUGUUUGGUUUGAAAGGCUGCCAAAGGACAACAACAUUGGAAGUUCAAGUCAACUUAUGUCUACACAGUCUAACUUGUGGUCACAAAAAUCAUGUGGCUCUCAAAUCACUUCAUUUGAUAAGUUCAUCUCAAAUCACUUCUGUUUUAAAUAUAAAAUACUUCCAUAGUUAUUAUUGUUUUCUGUUAUUAACUCAUUUAUAUCACAUGCACCAGUUGUCAUGGUGUGUUACCGUAGCAACCACAAAGAAACUGAAAGCAACUAGAAAUGGUUGGUACUACCUGACAUGAUGUUAAUGUCCAAGAGUAGCUAAGGGAUCCUCUCCCUCAUAUACAUGUUCUGAUGGAUAUUCAACCGAGAACGAAAUUUAUAGGUAUUACCUUUUCAUUACAUCAAAUUCAUAUGAUGGUUGAUGCAAGUAUGAAAUGAUAGGUUGUAACAUUAUAGAUACAAAAUCGAGGUUGAAGUUGUUGAUAAUGGAAUUUUAACCAUUUUUGUGUUUUGGAAUCGUGAGUAUAAUGAAUUGUUGGAAAUAUCUGCCUCUCAGCUCCACCAAACAAUUCUGCAAGUUUGCUUAAAUGAUUGUGAUCUUUUGAAUUUUCAAUUCAUUACAUAUCCCAUAUAUAUUUAUAUGAUUUUCAUUUAAACUAGGAUGGUAUUAGUGAUCCACUUGAAUUUACAUUGGUCCUUGAUAAUUUAAUUGGACAUGAAUUUGCAUUCAAAGUUAAAUGGCAACCACGGUGGAAAAAUGCAAGUGUCAUGGCGGUCGUACGGGACAAAGAAACUAUUGAUAAAUUACUAGCGCAAUGGGAAGUUUGUAAGGUGUUUCAGAAAUCUCUGUAUGUUAUUUUUAUUGUAGAUCGACCUACUUCAAAUAUAAAUCAAUUCCUUUUUUUACAUCAGCCUACUACCAUUGAAGUUAAACUCUUUGAUGCUCAAUUUAACUAAAUAUUUCAUUAUCUUGGUACAAACUCUUUGUUGUUUCCGUAUUUUCCAUCCCCUAUUAUGUAAAACUCAUGACAUUUCACAAACUAACAAUAGAGGUGACCCGUGUUCAGGUUUGGAAUGGUGGAGAAGUUGAAGAUUUAAAACGAAAAAAUCUCUGAUGUUAUUUAUAAGAGAUUUUUUUUUUUUUAAAUUUAUUGAAUAAUCAAUAUAUCUGUACGUAUCAUGGAUGUAAUAUACUUAUGAUUUAAUAAAUCUAAUAAGAUGUUAUUUAUAAGAGAAAAUUUAUUUUUUAAAAGAUAUAUCUGUAUUGUAUCAUGGACCAAUUUCUCUUAUAAAUAAGACCAAAGAGAAUAUUUAAAAUGUGUUAAUGGCUUAAAACUCGGAUUUUUAUUCCAAAGAUGAAUUGCUUCCUCUUCCUCUAAGGUGAACAAGGAAGUGCCUUAGAAGAAUUCGUAGAUGCAAGGAUUAUAGGCUUAGUUCAGUGCACACACACUAGAUCUUAUAUAUAGUCAUCCUAAUUAUAAAAUUUAUUCUAACCCCUCCAAAAUUUGAUUGGGUACUACUCCCAAUUUUUGUUAAAAUCAAUGUUAUUUUUGACAAAAUCUUAACUAAAAUAUUCAAAUGAAAAAUUUAAUAGAACAAGUUAAGAAUCUGAUAUGAAUUGAAAAAUCUAACGGUGUAUUUAAAAAAAAUUGUAUACAUUUUUAUCGAUAUUUUAAAAUAAAAUGAAUUUCUCACUUUUGAAUUUUUGAUAAAUAUGAUAUGUUUUAUAAUUUUUUGGAUUUUUCAAGUUUGGUAGUUCAUUUUCGACAAGAAAAAAAAUUCAACAUGUCGGAUUUCUUUGAAAAAUCCAGUAUAUUUUAUAAUUUUCCAGUAUAUUUGAAAAACCAAUAAAAAAUAAUUUUUUCCAAAAAUACUGACUUUAUAUCUGUUUUUUCUGAAUAAAUCCAAUGUAAAACGUAUGAUUUUACACCGUGUGUUUUUAAAAAAUUUGAUAUAAAGUUAUAGUUUUAUGAAUAAAUAUGUGAUUUCUCACCUAAUUUUUAAAAUAAGUGUAAAUAGUAUGUUUUUACAUCUAUCUUUCAAAAAAUUCGAUAAAAUUUCUUAGACCCAAAAAACCCUAUAAAAACUUAUAAACCCUUCAAGUUAGAUCGUUUCGAUGAAACAAACUUCACUCGCUGGCAAGACAAAAUGAUAUUUACCCUGAUUGCAGUGAAGAUUCACUAUGUCUUAGAUUUUGAUUUGACACCAAUUCCAAACCAACAGAAAAUUACUCUGAUGAAAUCAAGAAAGAACGUAAGAAAUGAAAGGAGGAUGAAUUGUUAUGUUAUGGACAUGUUUUUCGAUCAUCUCGAUGAUCUCUACACAUACACCUAAUUUGCAAUAGAAAUCUAAAAAAUACUCAAGUUCAAAUUUAAAGCUAAAGAGGAAUGUACUAAAAAGUUUUUCAUUUCUAAAUAUAUAAAUUUUAAAAUGUUGGAUUCAAAGCCCAUUCUUGCACAACUACACGAGUUACAAGUUAUCGUAAACAAACUAAAAGUUAUAGAGAUAGACAUCCCGAAGCUUUCCAAGUUGGUGCAAUAAUUGGAAAAUUUUCAUCUUCAUGGAAAAGUUACAGGAAGAAAUUGUUGCAUAGUUAUGAGGGCAUCUCACUAGAGAAAAUAUAGAAAUAUCUUCUAAUCGAGGAGGAAUGGAAAUAUAUAGAGAAAUCCAAGCCUGCUAGAUAUUCUAAAGCCAAUUGAGUGAGUGCAAAAGGCAAGAAGAAAAAUGACAACGUGAAGACCCAUCUUCGACCUAAUCGGGAAUAUUAAUCUUGACUCGUAAUAGUGUAUUUGUAUGGAAAUUUUAUUUCGUUAAGGGAAUGAUAAAACUUUGUAUUGCCGACAAUAUUAUAAAUAAAAUUUCUAUUUCUGCUUAAAUGCUUGAAUUUGUUUCUUUAUGGCAUACUAGAUUAGCAAAUAAUGUUAUUAGUACUAUUAAGAGACUAAUUAAAUUUGGUUUGAUCUCAUGCGAUGUUGAUGAUUUCAAAAAAUCUGAAAUAUGUAUUAAAUAAAAAAUGAUUAAGAAGUCUUUCAAAAGUGUAGAAAGAAAAACCAACUUGCUUGAUUCUGUGCAUUCAAAUUUUUGUGAAUUUAAUGACAUGUUAAUCUGUUAGAGAAAUAGGUAUUUCAUUAUCUUUAUCAACGAUUUCUCUAGGUUCACACAUGUAUAUCUUUUAAAGCAUAAAGAUGAUGCCUUUAAUGCUUUUAAAAUUUAUAAAGCGGAAGUAGAAAAUCAAUUAAGUAGAUAUAACAAAUUCCUUAGGAGUGAUAGGGGGAAUGAAUAAUUUUCUACCGAAUUUGAUGCGCAUUGUUGAAAAUAUGGCAUAAUACAUCAAAGUAAAAACAUAAUGAAUAAAGGUUAGUCAAUGGUUAGUCAAAUCCUAGUUUUGAGUUUUAAUUGAUUAAGUCAUUCUUUGGAGAAUACUUAACCAUUCAUUCACAAGUAUGGAUCCUUGAACCAAGACAUCUUCCAUGAGAAGGGCUCCAACUUGGAUAAUUCAACAAGUAUGCCACUAGCUCUCAAGAAAGAAAAAAAGGUCAAGUUUCCACACAAUGCCAUGAAAAAUGGGAGACUUACAAUCUCACUUAGUAGAAUGAUAUGCUUUGAGGGUCAAAUUUAGCUCUAUAUUUAGCAAUCGUAAUUGGACUUAUGUAGAAGUUACAAUUAUCUGAGGCUGGGCAAUAAAGAUAUAGAUUUUAAUCCAUGUUAGAGAUUUGGUACAAAGAACCAAACUCCUAAAAUAUACCACACACUAAAAGAAAAUAGGAGGGACCUAUCUCAGUCAGACUUGUAUUGAUUCAUCUGACACAAGGUUAUUGAUGAAUCAAUUAGCAUUUAGACAUUAGAGAUUUCAUUGGUCAAAUGAGGGAAUGGGGAAGAAUAGGGAUGAAGAUGAAGAGGAAAGGGGAAAUAGAAACACAAAUUGAUAAUGAGAGGAAUUUCAUAUGAUCAAUAUCAUCCAUUCAUUUUGGGAGAUGAAAUGUACAUUUCAUCAAUCCCUUAAAUAAAAUGGUUUUGAUCAAACAAAAGUCAAAUAAACCAUGACCAAGGCCCAAACAGAAAGUAAAACAUCACAAGACCCUAAAAAUGGCUCAACAUAAUUUUUAAACACUUAACCAAUUAAAAAACACAUUUAAAAUGAAAAAAAAUGCAUUUUAAUUUGGACAAAACCUCAAAUCCCUUCAAAACACCAAAUAAAUGGCCAAGGGAUUUAUCCUAGGUCAAACAAGGUCAAAGGACCUUAGAUAAAAUUCCACAAUUUUUAGAAAGUCAUAAGUAUUUUAAAAUAAUUAAAAAUAUGCAUAAAAACAUUUUAUUCAUGAACAAUACCAAAAUUAAUCCAAAAAAUGAUUUUAAUUUAAAAUAUGGAAAAGAAAAAUAUUUAAAUGUUUUUGGUGAAAGUCCCAUAUUUUUUGGAUUAAAAAUGAAAUUUCCACGAAUAAAAUAAAAUAAGUGGAUUAAAUGGAAAUUUAGAAAAUACAAAAAAAAAUAAGGGUCAUCAGAUCUCCCUCAUUAAUUAAGGUGGCCGAUCUGAUGGUCAAGCGCACGAUUCACACCAUACGCCUCAGCCAAUGCAUCAUAGGGAUGGUAAUCACAAGGAGCGGUAAAUAUUAAAACAUUUCAAAUGGAUCAGAAGGUUGGGAAGGAACCUUCGAUAGACCUCACCAGACUAGUCAACCACCAACCUUCACCAAAAUAAAAAGUGUGGACAUGAUUUUAAAGGAAAAAUGCUCAAGAGCUCGAAUCUGACCUCCAUUUCAUCCAAUUCCAAGUAUAUUGAAAGAUACAUGGAUAUGGAAUUUGAGGUUCAUGAUCUGAGUUGCUUCGAUUUAACCUCAAAGCAACUCAAUCUUGUUACCUACAUUAGUAGAACUUCAGACAACCAAUAAUCAAGCAAAAUAGUUGAGAAAUAAGGGAGAAUCGAAGAAGAGAAGUUUGAGAAAAAUCACCUUCAGGUAGCUUGAUCUUGUCUCCAAUUUGCCUUAGCUCAACUCUAGAAGCUUGCAGGAAGUGAAAUGGAUCAAUGACAAACUUGGAUUCUUGGAGUUUCAAUCUCAAAACAGAAGGAGAGUUGAAACUCGAUUUCAAGUGAAAUAUUCGAGUUUAUCCUUUAAUGGAGGCUAGGGAUGCAAGGGUUCAAAGCUUGGGCAGAAGGGAUCCUCAUUCUGAUCAUUGGUGCAUGGAUGCAUAAGCAAUGAUAUGGGUCCAAUUCAUGAUAUGAUCUUGCUCCAAUUCAUGAACAAUGAGUACUGAAAUAUUAACAUGUAGGCAUGCAAAAGGAAAUGGUCAAUUUAAUUCAAAUCUUUCCAAAACAAACCUAUGAAAGGAACCAUUUGUAAAUCCCUCAAAUCUAAUCCAAAUGAAGUGAUCCUGGAGUUUUUGGAAAGGUGACAUCAAGGGGAACAACUUUGAUGUUGAACACGUUUCCAUUUGAAGCUUGGAUCAUGAUUAAUUUUGAGGUGGACGUUUGAGAAAUCAAACAUAAUUAAAAAAUUUCUAAGUACCAAGUCAAAUGACCACUUCUUCCACCUUGAAUAACUUUUGCUAUGAGCUUCAAAUGAGAAUGGUUUCUUCAUCAAAGUUGAAGCUCUUUAAAUAUUUUCAAUUUGUUCACAAACUUGACAUCAUUUAGAUUUGGCAUAAGGGUGGUAUGCAUUUUAGAAGUUGAGUAAAAUUGUUUGUUCAAUGGUAAUGGUCCAAAAUAACCUAUAAUGUUUCCUCUUGCCACAUGCCCUUGCAAGUUGAAUUUGACAUUUAUCAAAGAAUAAAAGUUAUACAAGACAUCUUGAAAUUGAUCAUGAAACCUCGAUGGCCUUCAUCUCAUUAAAAUUGAGAAAGUUAUGGUCCUUGGAAGUUAACCUCCUAAGUAGGGCACAAACAAAAUGACCUAUAAUCUUUCACCAUAAAAAUUGACUUUCCAAGCAAAACUAUAUCUUGAUUUCAACAUGAAAGUUGUUUGAAAUGUCAUAAGGAGUAACUUUGCUCUUAGAAUCAUUUUCAUAUGAAAAACAAUUGUAGGAGAUAGGGUCUAGGGAACCGCAGUUUUGACCAGUUGAUUUUAUCUGGUCAACCUCUUUGAACCAACUUGCAAACUUGAAAUUCUAUUGAUCUUUGGGGCUCAUGGAGGAUCAUAUAUGCAUAAGAGGAUGUAUGAUUAAGUAUCCCUUGAUAUAUUUGACCAAAUGUUGAAGAAACUUAUUGAGGAAGUCACACAAGAUACCUAGAUAAAUUAGGGCUUUCAAGGCAAACAAGCUUCAAACUCUUGAUGAUUUCUUGUUUUAAAUGAUAAAUUAAGAACAUGGGGAUCCAUAUAUGAUGUUUAGAACCAUUGUGACCCAUCUCUUGAUUGAUCUCUUGCACUAAGUGUCUCAAACCCUAGUUGUGAACCUGAAAAAGCCUUGGUGGAUGCACACUCUACCUAUAAAAGAAACAAAGCUACACAUAGACAUAUUUUUGUAUUUUGUUUAGUAAACAAAGAAAAACAAAGUAUGAUACAAUCAAAUAUGUUUGGUGAUCUCUCCCAAUGCAAACCCAAGAAAUUACGAAGGAGGAUGCAAAGGAGGAUGAUAAAGUGUAGAAAACAACUAUAAAACGUGUGUAGAUCAUUAUUGUAAUGUGUACCGGUAUUUCAACCCCUAUCCUAGAGUAACCCAUUUCAACUAAAAUAACUUUCUACAACUUAGUUAUUAUGUUUGUAUUAGCACCUAUAAUUUUAUUUUCCUUCUAUAUCUAAUAUCAAGACUAGUAUUUUUAUCACUGUAAUAA
rnacentral:lncRNA from 1 species